rnacentral:rRNA from 1 species
CAAUAGCGUAUAUUAAAGUUGUUGCAGUUAAAAAGCUCGUAGUUGAAUUUUUGCUUGCCGCCGAUGUCGGAACUUCCGUACGUUCGGCGGCGUGCAUCCUUGGGUGGAACCUGUGUGGCAUUAGGUUGUCGUGCAGGGGAUGCUCAUCGUUUACUGUGAAAAAAUUAGAGUGUUCAAAGCAGGCUUACGCCGUUGAAUAUAUUAGCAUGGAAUAAUAAGAUAGGACCUUGGUACUAUUUUGUUGGUUUGCGCACCGAGGUAAUGAUUAACAGGGACAGUUGGGGGUAUUCGUAUCCCAUUGUCAGAGGUGAAAUUCUUGGAUUUCUGGAAGACGAACUACUGCGAAAGCAUUUACCAAGGAUGUUUNCAUUAA